CCUACGGGUGGCUGCAGUGGGGAAUAUUGCGCAAUGGGCGCAAGCCUGAUGCAGCCAUGCCGCGUGUGUGAAGAAGGCCUUCGGGUUGUAAAGCACUUUCAGCGGGGAGGAAGGCGGUGAGGUUAAUAACCUCAUCGAUUGACGUUACCCGCAGAAGAAGCACCGGCUAACUCCGUGCCAGCAGCCGCGGUAAUACGGAGGGUGCAAGCGUUAAUCGGAAUUACUGGGCGUAAAGCGCACGCAGGCGGUCUGUCAAGUCGGAUGUGAAAUCCCCGGGCUCAACCUGGGAACUGCAUUCGAAACUGGCAGGCUAGAGUCUUGUAGAGGGGGGUAGAAUUCCAGGUGUAGCGGCGAAAUGCGUAGAGAUCUGGAGGAAUACCGGUGGCGAAGGGGGCCCCCUGGACAAAGACUGACGCUCAGGUGCGAAAGCGUGGGGAGCAAACAGGAUUAGAUACCCUUGUAGUC
rnacentral:rRNA from 1 species